AACGUUAGCGGCGCGCCUGAACACAUGCAAGUCGCACGAGAAAGGGCUUCGGCCCCGGUAAAGUGGCGCGACGGGUGAGUAACACGUGGGUAAUCUUCCUCCGAGCGGGGGAUAACAUUCCGAAAGGAGUGCUAAUACCGCAUAAGACCACGGAGUCGAAAGACACUGAGGUAAAAGCUGGCCUCUUCACGAAAGCUAGCACUUGGAGAUGAGCCCGCGGCCCAUCAGGCAGUUGGCAGGGUAAUGGCCUACCAAACCUAAGACGGGUAGCUGGUCUGAGAGGAUGAUCAGCCACACUGGAACUGAGACACGGUCCAGACUCCUACGGGAGGCAGCAGUGGGGAAUCUUGCGCAAUGGACGAAAGUCUGACGCAGCGACGCCGCGUGGGUGAUGAAGGCCUUCGGGUUGUAAAGCCCUGUGGGUGAGGACGAAUAAGUGCAUCCCAACACGAUGCAUGAUGACGGUACUCACUUAGCAAGCACCGGCUAACUCUGUGCCAGCAGCCGCGGUAA
rnacentral:rRNA from 1 species